CCCUUAGAGUUUGAUCCUGGCUCAGAUUGAACGCUGGCGGCAUGCCUUACACAUGCAAGUCGAACGGUAACAGGGAGCUUGCUCCGCUGACGAGUGGCGAACGGGUGAGUAAUACAUCGGAACGUGCCCAGUAAUGGGGGAUAGCUCGGCGAAAGCCGGAUUAAUACCGCAUACGCCCUGAGGGGGAAAGUGGAGGACCGCAAGGCCUCACGUUAUUGGAGCGGCCGAUGGCUGAUUAGCUAGUUGGUAGGGUAAAGGCCUACCAAGGCGACGAUCAGUAGCUGGUCUGAGAGGACGAUCAGCCACACUGGGACUGAGACACGGCCCAGACUCCUACGGGAGGCAGCAGUGGGGAAUUUUGGACAAUGGGGGAAACCCUGAUCCAGCAAUGCCGCGUGUGCGAAGAAGGCCUUCGGGUUGUAAAGCACUUUUGUCAGGGAAGAAAUCCUUUGGGCUAAUACCCUAGGGGGAUGACGGUACCUGAAGAAUAAGCACCGGCUAACUACGUGCCAGCAGCCGCGGUAAUACGUAGGGUGCAAGCGUUAAUCGGAAUUACUGGGCGUAAAGCGUGCGCAGGCGGUUGUGUAAGACAGGUGUGAAAUCCCCGGGCUUAACCUGGGAAUUGCAUUUGUGACUGCACGACUAGAGUGUGUCAGAGGGGGGUGGAAUUCCACGUGUAGCAGUGAAAUGCGUAGAUAUGUGGAGGAACACCAAUGGCGAAGGCAGCCCCCUGGGAUAACACUGACG
rnacentral:rRNA from 1 species